GACGAACGCUGGCGGCGUGCUUAACACAUGCAAGUCGAACGGAAAGGCCCUGCUUUUGUGGGGUGCUCGAGUGGCGAACGGGUGAGUAACACGUGAGUAACCUGCCCUUGACUUUGGGAUAACUUCAGGAAACUGGGGCUAAUACCGGAUAGGAGCUCCUGCUGCAUGGUGGGGGUUGGAAAGUUUCGGCGGUUGGGGAUGGACUCGCGGCUUAUCAGCUUGUUGGUGGGGUAGUGGCUUACCAAGGCUUUGACGGGUAGCCGGCCUGAGAGGGUGACCGGCCACAUUGGGACUGAGAUACGGCCCAGACUCCUACGGGAGGCAGCAGUGGGGAAUAUUGCACAAUGGGCGGAAGCCUGAUGCAGCAACGCCGCGUGCGGGAUGACGGCCUUCGGGUUGUAAACCGCUUUCGCCUGUGACGAAGCGUGAGUGACGGUAAUGGGUAGAGAAGCACCGGCUAGCUACGUG
rnacentral:rRNA from 1 species